rnacentral:rRNA from 1 species
UACGUAGGCAGCGAGCGUUGUUCGGAAUUACUGGGCGUAAAGAGUGUGUAGGUGGUGCUCUAAGUUUGGUGUGAAAUCUCCCGGCUCAACCGGGAGGGUGCAUCGAAAACUGGAGUGCUAGAGGAUGGGAGAGGCAAGCGGAAUUCCUGGUGUAGCGGUGAAAUGCGUAGAUAUCAGGAGGAACACCUGUGGUGUAGACAGCUUGCUGGACCAUUUCUGACGCUGAGACACGAAAGCGUGGGUAGCAAACAGG